CAAAUGAUGCAGCCCAGCAAAGCAAAUCGCUAUUCCAACAGGAGAGAUGUAGGCUUCCCCAGGAGGGCCGAACGCAUUUUCACAUGUUUGUCUGUAGAGCUGGUACAGUCCCCAGUCACAGAUUCCUACAGUUGAAGAAUCAUUUCUGAAGCCACCUAUGACUUGUAAGUUCCUACUUCAAGAUUUCACCUUUUUGAGGCCAAACCAAUGUAUACCUUCCAUGUACUGAUGUAUGUCUUUGCCUACAACUCCUGCCUCCCU
rnacentral:lncRNA from 1 species